rnacentral:rRNA from 1 species
UUAAGCGACUAAGCGUACACGGUGGAUGCCCUGGCAGUCAGAGGCGAUGAAGGACGUGCUAAUCUGCGAAAAGCGUCGGUAAGGUGAUAUGAACCGUUACAGCCGGCGAUGUCCGAAUGGGGAAACCCAGUGCAAUUCGUUGCACUAUCGUUAACUGAAUACAUAGGUUAACGAGGCGAACCGGGGGAACUGAAACAUCUAAGUACCCCGAGGAAAAGAAAUCAACCGAGAUUCCCCCAGUAGCGGCGAGCGAACGGGGAGCAGCCCAGAGUCUGAAUCAGCUUGUGUGUUAGUGGAACGGUCUGGAAAGUCCGACGGUACAGGGUGAUAGUCCCGUACACCAAAAUGCACAGGUUGUGAACUCGAAGAGUAGGGCGGGACACGUGGUAUCCUGUCUGAAUAUGGGGGGACCAUCCUCCAAGGCUAAAUACUCCUGACUGACCGAUAGUGAACCAGUACCGUGAGGGAAAGGCGAAAAGAACCCCGGCGAGGGGAGUGAAAAAGAACCUGAAACCGUGUACGUACAAGCAGUGGGAGCACCUUCGGGUGUGACUGCGUACCUUUUGUAUAAUGGGUCAGCGACUUAUAUUCUGUAGCAAGGUUAACCGUAUAGGGGAGCCGCAGGGAAACCGAGUCUUAACUGGGCGUUAAGUUGCAGGGUAUAGACCCGAAACCCGGUGAUCUAGCCAUGGGCAGGUUGAAGGUUGGGUAACACUAACUGGAGGACCGAACCGACUAAUGUUGAAAAAUUAGCGGAUGACUUGUGGCUGGGGGUGAAAGGCCAAUCAAACCGGGAGAUAGCUGGUUCUCCCCGAAAGCUAUUUAGGUAGCGCCUCGUGAAUUCAUCUUCGGGGGUAGAGCACUGUUUCGGCUAGGGGGUCAUCCCGACUUACCAACCCGAUGCAAACUACGAAUACCGAAGAAUGUUAUCACGGGAGACACACGGCGGGUGCUAACGUCCGUCGUGAAGAGGGAAACAACCCAGACCGCCAGCUAAGGUCCCAAAGUCACAGUUAAGUGGGAAACGAUGUGGGAAGGCACAGACAGCCAGGAUGUUGGCUUAGAAGCAGCCAUCAUUUAAAGAAAGCGUAAUAGCUCACUGGUCGAGUCGGCCUGCGCGGAAGAUGUAACGGGGCUAAACUGUGCACCGAAGCUGCGGCAGCGACACUUAGGUGUUGUUGGGUAGGGGAGCGUUCUGUAAGCCUGCGAAGGUGGCCUGUGAGGGUUGCUGGAGGUAUCAGAAGUGCGAAUGCUGACAUAAGUAACGAUAAUGCGGGUGAAAAGCCCGCACGCCGGAAGACCAAGGGUUCCUGUCCAACGUUAAUCGGGGCAGGGUGAGUCGACCCCUAAGGCGAGGCCGAAAGGCGUAGUCGAUGGGAAACAGGUUAAUAUUCCUGUACUUGGUGUUACUGCGAAGGGGGGACGGAGAAGGCUAUGUUAGCCGGGCGACGGUUGUCCCGGUUUAAGCAUGUAGGCGGAGGUUCCAGGUAAAUCCGGUACCUUUUAACGCUGAGGUGUGAUGACGAGGCACUACGGUGCUGAAGUAACAAAUGCCCUGCUUCCAGGAAAAGCCUCUAAGCAUCAGGUAACAUUGAAUCGUACCCCAAACCGACACAGGUGGUCAGGUAGAGAAUACCAAGGCGCUUGAGAGAACUCGGGUGAAGGAACUAGGCAAAAUGGUGCCGUAACUUCGGGAGAAGGCACGCUGAUAUGUAGGUGAAGCCCCUGCGGGUGGAGCUGAAAUCAGUCGAAGAUACCAGCUGGCUGCAACUGUUUAUUAAAAACACAGCACUGUGCAAACACGAAAGUGGACGUAUACGGUGUGACGCCUGCCCGGUGCCGGAAGGUUAAUUGAUGGGGUUAUCCGUAAGGAGAAGCUCUUGAUCGAAGCCCCGGUAAACGGCGGCCGUAACUAUAACGGUCCUAAGGUAGCGAAAUUCCUUGUCGGGUAAGUUCCGACCUGCACGAAUGGCGUAAUGAUGGCCAGGCUGUCUCCACCCGAGACUCAGUGAAAUUGAACUCGCUGUGAAGAUGCAGUGUACCCGCGGCAAGACGGAAAGACCCCGUGAACCUUUACUAUAGCUUGACACUGAACAUUGAGCCUUGAUGUGUAGGAUAGGUGGGAGGCUUUGAAGCGUGGACGCCAGUCUGCGUGGAGCCAACCUUGAAAUACCACCCUUUAAUGUUUGAUGUUCUAACGUUGGCCCCUGACCGGGGUUGCGGACAGUGUCUGGUGGGUAGUUUGACUGGGGCGGUCUCCUCCCAAAGAGUAACGGAGGAGCACGAAGGUUAGCUAAUCCUGGUCGGACAUCAGGAGGUUAGUGCAAUGGCAUAAGCUAGCUUGACUGCGAGCGUGACGGCGCGAGCAGGUGCGAAAGCAGGUCAUAGUGAUCCGGUGGUUCUGAAUGGAAGGGCCAUCGCUCAACGGAUAAAAGGUACUCCGGGGAUAACAGGCUGAUACCGCCCAAGAGUUCAUAUCGACGGCGGUGUUUGGCACCUCGAUGUCGGCUCAUCACAUCCUGGGGCUGAAGUAGGUCCCAAGGGUAUGGCUGUUCGCCAUUUAAAGUGGUACGCGAGCUGGGUUUAGAACGUCGUGAGACAGUUCGGUCCCUAUCUGCCGUGGGCGCUGGAGAAUUGAGGGGGGCUGCUCCUAGUACGAGAGGACCGGAGUGGACGCAUCACUGGUGUUCGGGUUGUCAUGCCAAUGGCAUUGCCCGGUAGCUAAAUGCGGAAGAGAUAAGUGCUGAAAGCAUCUAAGCACGAAACUUGCCCCGAGAUGAGUUCUCCCUGACUCCUUGAGAGUCCUGAAGGAACGUUAAAGACGAUGACGUUGAUAGGUCGGGUGUGUAAGCGUAGCGAUACGUUGAGCUAACCGAUACUAAUGAACCGUGAGGCUUAACCUU